CUACGGGUCACUGCAGUGAGGAAUAUUGCACAAUGGGGGGAACCCUGAUGCAGCAACGCCGCGUGGAGGAUGACGCAUUUCGGUGUGUAAACUCCUUUUAUAUGCCAAGAAAAUGACGGUAGCAUAUGAAUAAGCACCGGCUAACUCCGUGCCAGCAGCCGCGGUAAUACGGAGGGUGCAAGCGUUACUCGGAAUCACUGGGCGUAAAGGACGCGUAGGCGGGUUGGAAAGUCAGGUGUGAAAUCCUACAGCUUAACUGUAGAACUGCACUUGAAACUUCUAAUCUAGAGUAUGGGAGGGGGAGAUGGAAUUAGUGGUGUAGGGGUAACAUCCGUAGAUAUCACUAGGAAUACCUAAAGCGAAGGCGAUCUCCUGGAACAUUACUGACGCUAAGGCGUGAAAGCGUGGGGAGCAAACAGGAUUAGAUACCCGGGUAGUC
rnacentral:rRNA from 1 species